GGGGAAGCCAACUCACAUGGAGCGAUCUGCCUGAGUUGAUCAUGUCGUGUUGGGAUCCUGGAACUUGGUGCCACUGCAUGUGUCUCAGAACCUUGUGUCUUCGUUUGGGUCCAUUCUGCCUUGAUAAUGGGUUGCUCAGUAAACAUUGAAGCCUAUGUUACAGAAGAAAAAAGGAAAAAUGAAGAAUGGAAGGAAGGGAGGGGGAUAAGUAUGCUGAGAUACGAGGGAAGAAUUGGAGAAAGAGAAAGAGACAAAAAUAUCAAAGAUGUUCCUUUCAAAAAUCACAUUAACGACCUGCUAAAAGCUCCCGUGUCUGCUCAGCAUUUGGGAUUGAAGAAGACAUCAGUCAACCAAUAAGGGUUAUAUAGCAUUUGAAAUUCAAAAGGAAGGUGUUGCCUGCGAUCUUGCAUACAUCUCUAACAAUUGCAGAUAGAAUAUAUUAUCGUCAGAUCCAAUUGCUUAUAUCCCAUCUUGACUCCUGUCAGCAUUUGCGAAGGUAAAUGCAUGGUAACCUGCUCCUUAUUUUCUGGGAAUUCAAAAUUGUGCAUAUAAAUGAGAG
rnacentral:lncRNA from 1 species